GACUCGAGCUCCAUUCCACCUGAAGAAAUUCAUUUUAAAUAGCUGCACCCACCUCUUCUUCUUCCUCACACUACGUUUCUUUCUCCCCUGUGGACUAUGUGCGCGGGGUGAUGGGUCUUUGUUUUAGCUGGUGUCACUGUACUUCCAUCAGAUGUCUCUGGUGUGGCUUGCAAGGCUCUUCUCCAUUUUGGUGCGAGAUUUUGCAGGGCUUGCUGCAGUUCUUUUCUGGUUUUCAUCCGGUACUGUUGCAGGUUCAUGGUCUGUGGAAAGGCCACCAGUGACAGCAGACAAAAAGACUAUGGCAUAUCAUACGCAUGGUCCUGUGCACGCUGAGGAAAUACCACUGCAAACAGAAGAUCCUGCUCGACCACCGCCUCAUGAUCACGAGAGGUAAACUUGCCUCAUGAUCACGAGAGGUAAACUUGCCGGAAAAGCUGUCAGCGACCUUAUGUUCUACCGGCGUUUGCCAUGCCCCCUCUCACUCGCGAACCUACAUAUGUCGCCUACACCAAGCCUCAAGAUUGUUCUUUAUUCGUAUAAAUAAAUGUAAUAUUAUAAUUAUGUACUUGUUUAUAUAUGUGUGUGUGUGUGACCUUAGAAAAUGAGAAUCUUUAAAACAAUAGCCUUUUUGUAUCUUUUUCUUUCAUUUUAAGGUGGAUAAAAAAUCUAAGAGUGCCAUUUAUUGUGGA